AUACGGAGGAUCCGAGCGUUAUCCGGAUUUAUUGGGUUUAAAGGGAGCGUAGAUGGAUGUUUAAGUCAGUUGUGAAAGUUUGCGGCUCAACCGUAAAAUUGCAGUUGAUACUGGAUAUCUUGAGUGCAGUUGAGGCAGGCGGAAUUCGUGGGGGAGCGGUGAAAUACUUAGAUAUCACGAAGAACUCCGAUUGCGAAGGCAGCCUGCUAAGCUGCAACUGACAUUGAGGCUCGAAAGUGUGGGUAUCAAACAGGAUUAGAUACCCUGGUAGUCCACACGGUAAACGAUGAAUACUCGCUGUUUGCGAUAUACGGCAAGCGGCCAAGCGAAAGCGUUAAGUAUUCCACCUGGGGAGUACGCCGGCAACGGUGAAACUCAAAUGAAUUGACGGGG
rnacentral:rRNA from 1 species